rnacentral:lncRNA from 1 species
GUUGAAGUCAACACUCCAGCACCUUUUCUCAUGCUCCUGGUAGACCUUGGAUCUUUGUCCCGUGAACCCAUCCCACAGGAUGACUGUGCCUUCAUAGUCACUGCUGGCUAGCAGGUUCUUGUGGUAACUACUCCAGCUGAUACAGCUGAUUUUGGAAUUACAGGUCAUUUCGUUCUCAGGGUAGUGAAUAUCCACUGCAUCCUGAAUGACUGU